rnacentral:rRNA from 1 species
UGCCAGCAGCCGCGGUAAUACAGAGGGUGCAAACGUUGUUCGGAAUUACUGGGCAUAAAGCGCACGUAGGCGGCCAGGUAAGUGUGAAGUGAAAUCCCACGGCUCACCCGUGGAACUGCUUUGCAUACUGCUUGGCUAGAGGAAGGUAGGGGAGAGCAGAACUCUUGGAGGAGCGGUGAAAUGCGUAGAUAUCAAGAGGAAUACCAGUGGCGAAGGCGGCUCUCUGGUCCUUUUCUGACGCUGAGGUGCGAAAGCUAGGGUAGCGAACGGGAUUAGAUA